GCAGGCAGGCACCAGUGUGCUGCUGGCAAGCACAGUCAGAAUCUGGCCCUGUAAAGAAGGGGCCGUGCAUAAUUAAAGGAUUUUCACAAGAUUUCAUGGCUGGCAAUGACGGAGCCAUGAAGGAAACCAGACUCAUCAGUGAGGAAGCCAGCGCACGUACAGAGAUGUCUCACAUGCCCCUGGCCUGCCCUUGCUGAGGGUACCCUGAUGACUCCAACACCCAAGCCCCUGUUUUCAAGGAUCUGCAAGCUGCCCAGUCGAUCCCUCUCCUUUCCAUUUUUCCUACAGGGAAUGGUCGCUACUGCUGAAGAUAAUUGCUCAACCGUUUGCGCUGAGAGUUAUGGAGGGUCAAUCUCCACUCCUCCAUGUUCUCUUUGUAUCCUUUGGCACAAAUGGUAUGGAAGUGACAGAAAGUUCUGCAUCACCUAAGAACAAAACAGGAAUUCUUGGGAGGCAGGGGCCUCCUGCACAAAAUUUUUCACCCACUGCUAGCAUUUAGCUACCUAAAUUUUCUACCAUUAGAAAUCUAUUCCUUUGGGUUAAAGCAGAUUUCUCCUCUUGCCUAGGAUUUGCCCAGACUGUUGUAUAAAAUCUUAUUUUGUCAUGCAUCCAAAUGACUACCCUAACAACUCCUAACAACCACCUCAGCGCUGAGGUCUCACAGUAAUAGCCCAAGGAACCCAACAACAUAAGGAAUGACUAUGCUUCCAGGUGUUAAAUACCUCGAUUUUGAGGAUUCAAAUGUUCCUUAGGGCCUUCACCUUUUAAGUGUCUUUUCCCCAAAAGAACUCAAGUAGAGUGUUUGUUGUUAUUGAUGACGAGGAGCAGAAUGCCAUUUUCUCAUGAAGCCUAAGUUCACAAGAAUUCUUGCUGUGCUGUACAGAACCCAACUUACCCACUCCACUAUCCGUCACAGGCUCUGUGGAUUCCCUAAGUUUGGACUGAAAUUGCACCGUGAGAUGUGUGUUUCUUUCCAGGAGAUAAGAGAUGGUGGAGGGAUGGGGACACUUUUAUGGAGAGGGACAGCCAUGGAUCAAUGGAAAUGAGAAGAUGUGGAAAACGUUGUAUCCUGGGAAGAGAGGAUUCUAGGAGGUUCUGGGGAAAUAAGGCAUCAAAAUGCAAAGGCACAGAUUUUGAGGAUAAAUAUCCAGAACCUCACUUAAAAUAGCAAGGUAUUAUGAUGACCCCAAGCAGAGAGGAAAGGCAACACAUGAAUGUAUUUGUAGACUUAACCAUGACAUAAAAUUGUAUGGUUUGAGGACCAA